GGUUUCAGAUUUCCCUCAGCACCCCAAUCUCAUCUGCUCUUGGAAGCUUUGGAAAGUUAGGCCUGGUUGGUACUUGGAUGGGAGCCCGUCUGUGAAUAUCAGGUGCUGCAAGCU
ensembl:rRNA 5S_rRNA 5S ribosomal RNA